ensembl:snRNA U6 U6 spliceosomal RNA
GUGCUCGCUUCGGCAGCACAUAUACUAAAAAAUUGGAACGAUACAGAGAAGAUUAGCAUGGCCCCUGCGCAAGGAUGACACACAAAUUCGUGAAGCGUUCCAUAUUUUG